UGGGGAAUCUUGCACAAUGGGGGCAACCCUGAUGCAGCGACGCCGCGUGAGCGAUGAAGCCCUUCGGGGCGUAAAGCUCUUUCGACCGGAACGAUAAUGACGGUACCGGGAGAAGAAGCUGCGGCUAACUACGUGCCAGCAGCCGCGGUAAUACGUAGGCAGCAAGCGUUGUUCGGAGUUACUGGGCGUAAAGAGUGCGUAGGCGGUUCGUUAAGUCUGUCGUGAAAGCCCUGGGCUCAACCUGGGAAUUGCGAUGGAUACUGGCGAGCUAGAGUACGGUAGAGGAUGGUGGAAUUCCCGGUGUAGCGGUGAAAUGCGUAGAGAUCGGGAGGAACACCCGUGGCGAAGGCGGCCAUCUGGACCAGUACUGACGCUGAGGCACGAAAGCGUGGGGAGCAAACA
rnacentral:rRNA from 1 species